GACGAACGCUGGCGGCGUGCUUAACACAUGCAAGUCGAACGGUGAAGCCCUUCGGGGUGGAUCAGUGGCGAACGGGUGAGUAACACGUUAGCAGCCUGCCCCUGGCUCUGUGACAACCACUGGAAACGGUGGCUAAUACCGGAUACGACCCGCCUCAGCAUCGAGUGUGGGUGGAAGGUUUUUCGGCUGGGUAUGGGCUCGCGUCCUAGCAGCUUGGUUGUGAGGUGUAGGCGCCCCAAGGCGAGGACGGGUAGCCGGCCUGAGAGGGCGACCGGCCACAAUGGGCCUGAGGAACGGACCAGACUCCUACGGGAGGCAGCAGUGGGGAACAUUGCACAAUGGGCGAAAGCCUGAUGCAGCGACGCCGCGUGAGGGAUGACGGCCUUCGGGUUGUAAACCUCUUUAAGCUCCGAAGAAGCGAAAGUGACGGUAGGAGCAGAAGAAGCACCGGCUAACUACGUG
rnacentral:rRNA from 1 species